rnacentral:rRNA from 1 species
UACGAAGGGGGCUAGCGUUGCUCGGAAUCACUGGGCGUAAAGCGCACGUAGGCGGGUCGUUAAGUCAGGGGUGAAAUCCUGGAGCUCAACUCCAGAACUGCCCUUGAUACUGGCGAUCUCGAGUUCGGGAGAGGUGAGUGGAACUGCGAGUGUAGAGGUGAAAUUCGUAGAUAUUCGCAAGAACACCAGUGGCGAAGGCGGCUCACUGGCCCGAUACUGACGCUGAGGUGCGGAAGCGUGGGGAGCGAACAGG